ensembl:lncRNA
UUAGCCAUGGAGUCACACCUGAAAUGCAAGAGUCUGGGCAGUGUAAUUGAGAUGCCACAUGCCUGGCAAAACUUCAAAGGCUUCUAUUACUAAAAGGAAGAAGGAGGAAAUACAUACUGGGGUACGAUCAUUUAUCCUCUCUCUCUCUCUUUUUUUCUGUAGUUCCCAGGCCAGGAAUCAGAUCCAAGCUGCAGCUGCGAUCUAUACGCCGGCAACACUGGAUCCCUGAACCCACUGUGCCGCGCUGGGGAUCGAACCUGCAUCCCAGCGCUUUAGAGACGCCUCCCGUCCCACGGCGCCACAGUGGGAACUCCCAGCUUACUGCCUCUGCCACACCUAGCCUGUCCUUGGGACAGGACCUCACCCUGGGGGACUUUUCCUUGCAUCUCUGCUGACCAGGAAACAACCAUUUUCUGUACCUCAGGAUCCCAACACGCAGCUCGUGAUUCAAGUCAGAGCUUACUGGCACUUACUGGCAGAGCACUGACUGGCAAGCUGUCCCUUCUUCUGGGUGGCCGUCCCAACCCUGACUCCCAGCUUCCCUGAGACAGGUGGGCGCUGAGAUAACUAUCGACAGCUCCUACUUACUGCGCCUCUGUUUUGCGAUGGUUCUCCUUUGAGGUUCCAGCCCUCGCUGCUGAUGGAGCGUCCUGGCAGUCACACUUGUCCCGUCUUAGAGGCAGCAGAAGGAGGGCGCCGUCCAGGUUGGGAUCCAUGAGGCCCCAUCUCCCACCUGCGGGGCCUUGAGCAGACUCACCCUGUGCUGCAGGUGCUCACCGGUCAGCUGGGGACGUCGCAGUGCCGCUUGGGGGCUGUGGUGAAGGUUAGUGACGCGGUUCUCAUGACGGGCACUUAGUAACUUUUCCAUCACUGUUCUCUGCUGCCCCUUAUCUCUGGGACCUGGUAACCCUCUAAGGGUUGUUUGAAUAAAUACAUCCUUCAUUCCAUCUUGUCCUGCUGCCCAACUGCAAAAGAAAACCCUUCAAAAAUAAUGUUCAAAGCACCAUCCUUGCUGGACGUUUCCAUCUGAGACCAGUCAGGAGGCAGAAACCACACAAUAGUGGAGGAAGUUAAUUCUAAGGGAUUUUUAAGUUAUGAUGGGAGAGUGGCUAGAAAGAUGGACAGAGAACCCUAAAGGGUGCCCUGGGGCGGGGGAGGCACCCUAGAAAGGACAGCCUUGGAAGGGGGUCGGUGACUGAAGCAGGUGUGGUUGAAGGUCACUGCCAGGACAGAGCCCCUGGCGGUCUUGACCAAAGCUGGUCUGUGUCCCUGGGCAGCAGAAACAUGUCUUCAGAGUGCAGGUGAGCAGAGGUUUAUAGGUGGGCAGCUGGAGGGCUCAAGGCACUGCUGCCCUCCUGAGGCUGGAACUGGAGGCACUCUUGGUCCCCAGUCUGCAGCUGGGUGAUCAGCAGCCUUGGUCAAGGUUCUGAGGCUGCCUGUGUGCUAGGGCAGAAAGCGCUGGGCAUUUACACACACGUGCACACGCACAGCUGACAAUGCAACAGGAAUGAAGAAGAGCAAACCCCUCACCCUGAAAUGAGGGCAGAGAAUUGGACCUUUCCGGCAAUGGCCCUCUCCCGCCCUCUACUGACAACGUUUGGCAUUGCACUUGCAGGACAGAAAAGACAAAAUCCAGCUCAUUAUCCCAAUGGUGAGGCAGGUACUGAAGGGUGAAUUUGGAUCCCACGGGCAAUAAAUUGAUAACUGGCACUCUGGGUAAAAAAAGUAUGCUAUUUAUCUUGCAGGCAGAAUUAUAUGAAGUCAUGAAAAAUUAUGUUUGAUUUAUUUAAUGCCCCAAGAAAAUCCUCAUGCGAUAUUAUGCGAAAAGGCAAAUUACAAAAGUAAUCAAUACAGUAUAAUCUUAAUUUUUCAAAAAAAAAAA